rnacentral:lncRNA from 1 species
AAGAGAUUGAAAGGACAGACUUUAGAUGUAAGAAACAGUGGAAAAUUGGAAAUAGAAAGAACUUUAAGACAGGUAAAUGCAUUAAGGAGGGAAGUUACUCAAUAAUUCUCAAAGUGCUGUAAAUAUCUCCUGCUCAUAGACUAUGAACCCAAAUGACAUUUAGUUAAGAUGAAUAGAGGUAUAGAAAAAUACAGAGCUAAUAGCAAACUAUAUUAACCAUUGUGCAGUUUCUCAAAAAGGCCAGCUGGUGACCACAAGUUUGACACGUUUUUGAUUUAAUUUAUCUUGCGUACCCCCACUGAUAUAAAGAUUUUGAUUAAGUUACUUUCUGUUCUGUUUAGGUGUGGGUAAAUAAGGGGACAAUUGUAAUUUUUAAAUAUGUAUUCGUGAUGUUCAAUGAAAUGAAACAGCUUAGAGGAAUUGUACUUUGUUUAGCAAAAAAUAACCUUUACUUCAAUAGAAAUUGCUAAGGCAACUUAAAAUGUAAACAUGUUCCGCCCAAUGCCUCCCAGCUAUUGCUUAAAAAUAUAAAAAUAAAUCAGACCCUGAGACUUCUCAGAGGGAACCUGAACAUUGCUUGUGAAGGUUCUUUUCUCAUCGCUGCCCCAGGACAUCUCCCCUUCCUACCCUACAUCGACUGCACAUCGACUGCAGCUGGUCUGCGGCAUUCUGAGAUAAACCAAUCAUCAGGCAGGUGCUGUGGAGCUUCUCUGCGGCAUCUGGGUGUCACUGUCCCCAAGCAGACUCAGCGAUGCAGGGCCUCUGAAGCUGCCUGCCCACGUGUGACUGCUGCACCAAAGCACAGGACCAUGCACCAACAGGACACCACCAUCGUGAGCAUGCUUCCUACUUUUCAAGGAUUUUCAUAGCAGUUAUGUUGACAUAAUUGAUGUAAAGACAGUAAGGAAGAGACAGCAGAGGAAGCAGCAUGGAAUGGAUGAAUUAA